CCGAGGAGUCAGGAGCCGGCUGCCCUUCCCCACCGCCUGAGCUCGCUGCUCCUCGUCGCCUCGGGGAAAGAGCCCGCAGCGGCGCUGGAACCGAGCCACGAGUUGAGAGCCCAAGAGGCUGCCGAAUAGGCCGGCCAUGCUCGCUCCUGGGAGGAGUUCUACCAACUCGGCUGGAUAUCGCUGGCGUUUACGGGACCUGCAUUCAGUUCAGCCCCGGUCCGCAGCCCGGAAGUUCACUGCGCAAUCCUAGCCGAGCCAUUAGUUCUCAGCCGACCUCCCAGAGUUGCCGGGAAGAGAACAUGUUGAACUCAGUAAGUGACCUCCACAAAACAGUCCCAAGACCAAAGGAUAUCGUGGCUUAAUCCAACGUUACACCAAUCUUACACCACAUACCAUUUUACCCUCCCUUUAAUGUAACCAGACCCAUUUUCUCGGGAACGGUUUAAAGCACUGCUCAUUUGUCUUUAUGUCAGGAAAAAUAUUGGUAUCAUUAAUCUGGUUGUCCACACCAUCAGUCGCAUCUUUACUCUGUGGCAUCAAUGCCAGAUUGUGCUACUCCCACUGUCCCUUUGUCCUCCUGGCGUUGGCAUCUUCUUGUUUUUUAUAACAUGGCUUCUUAGCAGAAAAGCUGCGCAAAUCAGAAUACUGCAACAAGAAUGUCAUUUCUGAUCUGUCCCAGUUCAGUUUUGACCAAAUCUGCAACCGUUCACACUCUGAUCGCUUCUUUCAUUUCUAGGAUUGGUGGUAUUUUCUCUGACACCAAAAAAUUAUUUCUUAUCCAAUGAGAUGGGAAGGUAAUAUGAUCUACUUUUGAAGGAACAAAAGCCAUUGAAAUCGACAAGAAAAUUUGGCAGUCUUUGAAAAUAUUUCUCAUAGGAAGAAACGAAGGAAGUCUUUCAGCAGAGAAGUGUUGUGUUUGUGAGAGUUUUUUAAAGAGUUUAAAAAGAUUUAAAAGUUAUCCCAACACUAAUUUUAGAGCCUGAGAAGCAGAGAAAAGAUGAUGGGAAUCCAUUAUUAUUGAAAGGACAAACACUACAUUUUACAUACGUUAUUGUUUCAGAAAUAUCACAUCCACAUAAGCAGUGAAGGUAACUUUUAAUCCAGAAUGUACGAUAAUGAAAGGAGAAUGGUUAAAUUCUGGAAAAGGAACUAAUCAAAAGGGAACCUUGGGAAUGCUGAGUGACAUUGCUGUCAAUUUAAACUCCAAGUGUUAUUCUGUGACCACUAGGUAUGUUUUGCUCUCAUUGAAUUGUGGGCAAAAGGUAUAGUUUUGGAUUUUUAAUGUUCAGGGAAGGAGUGAAUAUGAUUUGAUUACAAGUGAUUCUCUUUCAUCAAUGUGCUUGUUGGACUAACCAGUUAUCCUCCACAGUAAAAGUACUGGCUUUUAACAUUCAGCUAUAUUAAACUCAAUAGCUAGGUUGGGGAAAGUAUGAGCUAAAGUUAUAUCCCACUCAUCUAUACUUCCCCCUUCCUUCUGGAAUAAUCUGAAGCAUGCUUCAAAGAGACCCAUUCUAUCAUUGUAGCUGUAGAACCCAUGCUCUGUCUUAUUUCUAUGCAGUCUGUAGCUGAUAAAGAUGUAUGUAGCAUUAACUUUCAGAUUCUUCGAACACAUAAAGGUCAGAGAGAAAUAUAAGCAAAAUAAAUGGAUUUGGUUAAUUAAAAGUUAUUGAUAUUUGUAAGAGCAGUUCUAUGUUUAGUUUAAAUACAUUCAGAAAUAUAUCUUUUUUUUUAAAAAAAUCUCCACGAGAACCGAAGACAAACUGGGAAGUUAAUACAGAUGUUAUAUUAAAUGUGCUGUUUCUCUCAGUCAGUAAAUGAUUUCUGUAUUUUAUGGCCCUUUCAAAAUAAGAAUAGCACUACCUUUGAUUUGUAUUGGCUAAUUAAGUAAUAUAUAUAUAUAUAUAUAUAUAUGGCUGAGUAAGCAGCAGUAGCAGUUCUUUGAUUUUAUUGCUGAGAUCCAGGAAAUGCUAUUUCUGUUAGAAAUAUAUGUAAUGUUUUACUUUCAUAUCAAGACUGCAAUGCAGAGGCACUGGUGUGCAAAAUAUCAGCCCAGCCUUAUACUCUAAUUUAAGCAAAUUGCUUUACAGUGUACCCUUCAUUGUGAUCCAGAAUCCUGUCCUUCAUAGCAUGUAGGAUCAUCAGCCUGCAAGGUGCUUAAGGUCAUCUACUACAACCUCACAAUAUGUCUGUCCUGGAGCAAUCUAAAUUACAUGUCAUUUGCUGUUGAUUAAGCUAUAUGAGCAAAUGUAAAGUGUAUUAGCAAUCAAGUGAGUACCACACCAAGCAGAUAUUUCCAAUUAAUUGAGACUGGGGGAGGAUAAUAAAUACAGAAAUUGCUAUGAAAUUAAUUCUACUGUCAAAAUUUAGCAGAUUUAACUUAGGUUAAUAAGACUUGGGUUCAUACCAUAGCUUUUUGGUUUUUUUAAAAAAGGAAAGUAGUCUAGUUUACUUCUAAUACUAUGGUAUAAAUCAUAGGUACUACCUGAGGGGGAAGGUACAGUAGGUAGAAAUUGGUUGUAUAUAGCUUUAAUUCCCUGGGGUAUUUAAGACCAGUUUUGGCAGAGUAAGUCAAAACAUGGUUUAGUUUUGGCUUGGCAUUAUGUAACCCAACCACUUGGUUUACAAAUAGUGGCAAAACAACUUAUUUUGUGUAGUAGAUGAGUUGCAAAUUGCAGCUUCCAUAAGACGUGCAACAGGGACCCUUAAUUUCAGGGAUCUACUUUGGUUUUUGAAUUAUUUGCUAAAUCAAAACUAGGUCCAUAUGCAGAAUCCUGGUUGGAGGUAGAAGGUGAAUUGAAUCCUAAUUUAUAAAGACUGAGUCCAUCUGUGAUGUGGAUAAUUUUCUUACAUAACAAAGGUGCCAUUUAAAUUAUAAUUUAGUGCUCAAAAUAAUCACAUGGAUCAAUAUUUUUCUUUCAAGGCAACACAAUCAUUUAGCUAAAAUAUAAUGGCAAUGCUAUUUCAGUUUAUCCCAUAUUCUGUCAAUUACAAUGGCGAAAAUUAGACUGAAGUAAGGUGCAGUGAGAUAGAAGAAUUUAAAUGAAUAUUCUCUCCCUCCUCAGAAUCUUAAGAAUGCCCUGGUUGCAGUUUUGAACCAAGCAUUUUGAAUUACAUGUAUGAUACAAGUAUUAACUAUAUCUGACGAACUCUAACUCACUAGCACCUUCUCAACCAAUUAGCAUUCAUAUGUUAAUAGAUGAUGAAUUCUGAGGAUGAAAGGUAUAACUAGUGCAAAACAAUAAUUUAUCUUUAAUUUUAUUACUCUGACUACUCAGAAAUACUAGGAAUCUAGUAUAAAGUAGCAUAAGAACAGGUCUGCUGGAGCAGACAAAUGGCUCAUGGAGUUCAGCAUUCCUGAAGAACCAGAUGCAUCCAGGAACUCACUUUUGUGGACAAGAGUGUGUAGGUGUGUAUGUAGGCGAGACAGGGAGAGAAAGAGAGGGAUUAUUGCGUUCCAUUGUUACUCCCUAACACUGAAUUCAACGUAUGCAAUCUAUCAAACAGCUGUCAAGACUAGCAUCUUUUGACAGCUGCAUUGACCAUGAAUUGGUUCCUUUAAAAUAAUGUAGUGGCAAUGUAAUAGCAAUCACUACAUUUGAUGACAGUGAAUAUUGGCCCUUCUCACCAUGAUCUGCAGAGUGACUCCAUACCCAAAAGUGUGAGUGUUGCACUGUAAUUAAUUUAAAUGUCAUCUACAAAACAGUUGUGAGUGUAUAUGGAAUAGAUUCUCUCCAUCAUCUGGGAUCAGUAAGACAAGCAGAAAUAAGAGCUCUCAACCUUACCAAGAUGACAAACUGCCAGAUUUUUGUGUGCUUUAAUGUGUGAAAUAGUAGUUAAAGUAGUGAACUAGGACUGGAGAAAUCCAGAUUCCAGAUAUCGUAUUUUUCGGAGUAUAAGAUGAACUUUUUUCCCUCCUAAAAGAGGCUGAAAAUUUGGGUGCAUCUUAUACUCCAAAUGUAGCUUUUUUGAAGUUUUUUUUUCAGAUAUAACGAGUUGCUAGCAAGUGAAGCAAUCUAUGCUUUGCCUGCUCCCUCCUACUCUCAGCUGUGAAGCUUUUUUUCAGCCCUAACGAGACACUAGCGAGUGAAGCGAUCUCCAUGAUUUGCCUGCUUUUCCCAUUGCUUCUCUCUCCAAAGAUCAGUUGUGCUUUAGAAGCUGUUUUUUAUCUCCAAGCAGGGGAUAAAAAACAGCAAACUAAUGUGCUGAAGCUAACCAGACUAAGGACACUAGCCAAAUGAAUACCUGGUAGGCAAUUUUUCCCUAUUUUCCUCCCAAAAAACUAAGCUGAGUCUUACACUCCAGUGCAUCUUAUACUCCAAAAAAUAUGGGUAAGUCUUAUUUAUGGAAACAUCCGAGGUGACUUUUAGUCUGCUGUUUUAUUUCAGCCGCUUUAAUUCCUAAGUUUUGUUAUGGGGUUAAAAUGAAAACUAUAAGCUGCCUUGAGUUCCUUGAUAAAAGACAUGAUAUGUGUCAAACAAAAAUAUGAUUACCUGAAAUAUACUUAAUUAUUUUUACAGGAGACGGUUAUCUGACACUUUAUGCCACAAUGGUUUUCUAGCUACCAAAUCCAUGAACAUAUUUUAUAAACUAUUUCCAGAGGGUUUAGGCAACUCCCAAAGAAAAGUUUGUAGAUAUGUGACAUUAUAUGAUCUGUGUCUUCCAGAUGAUCUUCACAUUUGUAACCUUUUUUUCUUCCAUCCUAUAGCUGAGAUAUGAAUUUGGAUAAGGGAGGGAAGGAGAGCUAAUCUCCAAUGUAUACAAUGGAAGUCUGGAUAGGUAUAGAAGCCUGGUAUAGCUCUUAUUCAAAGUAUAAACAAUAAUGGGGAGACUAUAUGUGUCAUAAUGUGGGAGGAAAAUCUCAUUGGAUUCUUAAUACAAAACAAUAUAAACUUCCAAAUGUAUAUUUCAUAAUACCGGGUCCUACUUAGACCAUUUUAUAUAGAGAUUAGCCCAUUUGAGGUUAUUAACUAUAUACGCUUGUCGGGCUAACCAUUGUAGUUCAUUGUAGUUGAUGCUUAAAAUCAUCACUAGUUGAACAUUUAUUUCCAAUGUAAAAGUUUUGAAAAUAGCCUUUAAUUUAAAUUGUGUUAACAUUACUUUAUUUCUUGGAUUUAAGUACAUUUGUGCAUUUCUAUACAUACACACAUUUUAGGCACCUUGUAUCAAAAUGUUUUAACAUUUAACGUUUAUAGCCUUUUAACCUUGAAUAAUAAAGUUGUUCAGCUGUU